rnacentral:lncRNA from 1 species
CUCCCUCAGACUUGAGUAGAUCCUGGAUAAUGCUUUUGGCAGAUAUGGAGCGAGAGCACGUGCCUGACGGCCCAGAUUUUCAUCGCCUUGGUGAAGAUACUUAGCAUAAAUAUUAAUCAAGGUUUCACUGAGCUGAAGUACUUCUCCCCUGGCCUCGAUCAUACUUUCAUGGCAGUUUUGCACCCAAUGUUGCGUAGUGC